GAUGAACGCUGGCGGCGUGCCUAAUACAUGCAAGUCGAGCGAACGGACGAGAAUCUUGCUUCUCUGAUGUUAGCGGCGGACGGGUGAGUAACACGUGGAUAACCUACCUAUAAGACUUGGAUAACUUCGGGAAACCGGAGCUCAUACCGGAUAAUAUUUUGAACCGCAUGGUGCAAAAGUGAAAGACGGUCUUGCUGUCACUUAUAGAUGUAUCCGCGCUGCAUUAGCUAGUUGGUAAGGUAACGGCUUACCAAGGCAACGAUGCAUAGCCGACCUGAGAGGGGGAUCGGCGACAGGGAAACUGAGACACGGUCCUGAGUCCGACGGGAGGCGGCAGUAGGGAAUCUUCCGAGAUGGGCGAAAGCCUGACGGAGCAACGCAGCGUGAGUGAUGAAGGUCUUCGGAUCGUAAAACUCUGUUAUUAGGGAAGAACAUAUGUGUAAGUAACUGUGCACAUCUUGACGGUACCGAAUCAGAAAGCCACGGCUAACUACGUG
rnacentral:rRNA from 1 species